rnacentral:sRNA from 1 species
GUCGUCAGCUCGUGUCGUGAGAUGUUGGGUUAAGUCCCGCAACGAGCGCAACCCCCGUCCUUAGUUGCUACCAUUUAGUUGAGCACUCUAAGGAGACUGCCGGUGAUAAGCCGCGAGGAAGGUGGGGAUGACGUCAAGUCCUCAUGGCCCUUACGGGCUGGGCUACACACGUGCUACAAUGGCGGUGACAAUGGGACGCUAAGGGGCAACCCUUCGCAAAUCUCAAAAAGCCGUCUCAGUUCGGAUUGGGCUCUGCAACUCGAGCCCAUGAAGUUGGAAUCGCUAGUAAUCGUGGAUCAGCACGCCACGGUGAAUACGUUCCCGGGCCUUGUACACACCGCCCGUCACACCAUGGGAGUUGGUUUUACCUGAAGACGGUGCGCUAACCGCAAGGAGGCAGCCGUCGAAGGUGGGGCUCGUGACUGGGGUGAAGUCGUAACAAGGUAGCCGUAGCGGAAGCUGCGGCUGGAUCACCUCCUUUCUAGGGAGCACAUAACAGUGCCCCGGUUCCCGCGGUCACUGCGUCCUUGAGACGCGGCGAUGUCCAAGCGGAGUCGGGCCUAGCAUGUCGACCGAACCUGGCUGGAUGGCCGCGGACCGGGCGUGUCCCUUUCUACUUGGGGAGCACAACCGCCUUCGGCCGCAACGAUCCCAGCAUGCUGUUGAGUUUUGAGAGACCGGCCUCUGCCGGUCCUCGCGAGGACACCCCGCAGAAGGGCGUGACCAAGCAACGCGAGGACGGACGGGGGUAUACGCCUCUCCACGGUCCUUGAAAACUGCACAGAAGCCACAUCAGCCGCCAUCGAUAAGCGGCGGCUGAAAAACGGGUAUCACCGGGCCCUCCGUGACCUCCGGGUCAUGUUGGGCCAGAUCACCGUCAAGAUAGUAAGGGCACACGGUGGAUGCCUUGGCACCAAGGGUCGAUGAAGGGCGUAAACGGCUGCGAUAAGCCACGGUUAGGCGCCCAAUAGCCUAUGACCCGUGGAUUCCCGAAUGGGGAAACCCGG